rnacentral:rRNA from 1 species
AUUGAACGCUGGCGGCAGGCCUAACACAUGCCAGUCGAACGGUAACAGGAAGCAGCUUGCUGCUUCGCUGACGAGAGGCGGACGGGUGAGUAAUGUCUGGGAAACUGCCUGAUGGAGGGGGAUAACUACUGGAAACGGUAGCUAAUACCGCAUAACGUCGCAAGACCAAAGAGGGGGACCUUAGGGCCUCUUGCCAUCGGAUGUGCCCAGAUGGGAUUAGCUAGUAGGUGGGGUAACGGCUCACCUAGGCGACGAUCCCUAGCUGGUCUGAGAGGAUGACCAGCCACACUGGAACUGAGACACGGUCCAGACUCCUACGGGAGGCAGCAGUGGGGAAUAUUGCACAAUGGGCGCAAGCCUGAUGCAGCCAUGCCGCGUGUAUGAAGAAGGCCUUCGGGUUGUAAAGUACUUUCAGCGGGGAGGAAGGGAGUAAAGUUAAUACCUUUGCUCAUUGACGUUACCCGCAGAAGAAGCACCGGCUAACUCCGUG